AGCGAGGUAUGGAGUUCUUACU
rnacentral:miRNA from 1 species